UACGGGGGGGGGCAAGCGUUGUUCGGAAUUACUGGGCGUAAAGGGCUCGUAGGCGGCCAACUAAGUCGGACGUGAAAUCCCCAGGCUCAACCUGGGAACUGCGUCCGAUACUGGAUGGCUUGAAUCCGGGAGAGGGAUGCAGAAUUCCAGGUGUAGCGGUGAAAUGCGUAGAUAUCUGGAGGAAUACCGGUGGCGAAGGCGGCAUCCUGGACCGGUAUUGACGCUGAGGCGCGAAAGCGUGGGGAGCAAACAGGG
rnacentral:rRNA from 1 species